rnacentral:rRNA from 1 species
ACGUACACUCCUGCGGGAGGCAGCAGUGGGGAAUAUUGCACAAUGGGCGCAAGCCUGAUGCAGCCAUGCCGCGUGUAUGAAGAAGGCCUUCGGGUUGUAAAGUACUUUCAGCGGGGAGGAAGGCAAUACGGUUAAUAACCGUGUUGAUUGACGUUACCCGCAGAAGAAGCACCGGCUAACUCCGUGCCAGCAGCCGCGGUAAUACGGAGGGUGCAAGCGUUAAUCGGAAUUACUGGGCGUAAAGCGCACGCAGGCGGUCUGUCAAGUCGGAUGUGAAAUCCCCGGGCUCAACCUGGGAACUGCAUUCGAAACUGGCAGGCUUGAGGCUUGUAGAGGGGGGUAGAAUUCCAGGUGUAGCGGUGAAAUGCGUAGAGAUCUGGAGGAAUACCGGUGGCGAAGGCGGCCCCCUGGACAAAGACUGACGCUCAGGUGCGAAAGCGUGGGGAGCAAACAGGAUUAGAAACCCCGGUAGUCC